rnacentral:sRNA from 1 species
UUUUAGCCCCGAUAGUAACGGCAUCCUUUUCCUGAUUUCUUUAAGCAGGAAAAGAUAGAGUGGAUAGCGGGAAAUAGC